UACGAAGGGUGCUAGCGUUGUUCGGAAUCACUGGGCGUAAAGCGCGCGUAGGCGGCCAAUCAAGUCAGGGGUGAAAUCCCACAGCUUAACUGUGGAACUGCCUUUGAAACUGUAUGGCUAGAGUGUCGGAGGGGAUGGCGGAAUUGCUAAUGUAGAGGUGAAAUUCGUAGAUAUUAGCAGGAACACCGGUGGCGAAGGCGGCCAUCUGGACGACAACUGACGCUGAGGCGCGAAAGCGUGGGGAUCAAAC
rnacentral:rRNA from 1 species